rnacentral:rRNA from 1 species
UACGUAGGGCGCAAGCGUUGUCCGGAAUUAUUGGGCGUAAAGAGCUCGUAGGCGGCCUGUUGCGUCCGCUGUGAAAUCCCGAGGCUUAACCCCGGGCGUGCAGUGGAUACGGGCAGGCUGGAGGCAGGCAGGGGAGAACGGAAUUCCCGGUGUAGCGGUGAAAUGCGCAGAUAUCGGGAGGAACACCGGUGGCGAAGGCGGUUCUCUGGAACGCAACUGACGCUGAGACGCGAAAGCGUGGGGAGCAAACAGG